rnacentral:rRNA from 1 species
AUUGAACGCUAGCGGGAUGCUUAACACAUGCAAGUCGAACGAGUGGCGGACGGGUGAGUAAUAUCUUGGAAACUGCCUGGUGGAGGGGGAUAACUACUCGAAACAGUGGCUAAUACCGCAUCCCAUCGGAUUGGCCCAUAUGGGAUUAGCGAGUAGGUGGGGUAAAGGCUCACCAAGGCGACGAUCCGUAGCUGGUCUGAGAGGCUGACCAGCCAACAUGGAACUGAGACACGGCCCAGACUCCGACGGGAGGCAGCAGUGGGGAAUAUUGGACAAGGGGGGAAAGCCUGAUGCAGCCAUGCAGCGUGUAUGAUGAAGGCCUUCGGGUUGUAAAGUACUUUUAGCGGGGAGGCGUUAUCUGCAGAAGAAGCACCGGCUAACUACGUGCCAGCAGCCGCGGUAAUUC